UGGGGAAUAUUGCACAAUGGGGGGAACCCUGAUGCAGCGACGCCGCGUGAGCGAAGAAGGGAUUCGUUUUGUAAAGCUCUGUCCUAUGGGAAGAUAAUGACGGUACCAUAGAAGAAAGCCCCGGCUAACUACGUGCCAGCAGCCGCGGUAAUACGUAGGGGGCGAGCGUUGUCCGGAAUCACUGGGCGUAAAGGGUUCGCAGGCGGAUAAACAAGUCAAGAGGAAAAGGCAUGGGCAUAACCCAUGUAAGCUAUUGAAACUGUCUAUCUUGAGAUGUGGAGAGGUAAGUGGAAUUACUAGUGUAGCGAUGAAAUGCGUAGAUAUUAGUAGGAAUACCAGUAGCGAAGGCGACUUACUGGAAACAAACUGACGCUGAGGAACGAAAGCGUGGGUAGCAAACAGG
rnacentral:rRNA from 1 species